rnacentral:lncRNA from 1 species
GCUCCACAAGCCCAGCUCCCUCAGCCUCUCUUCCCAGCAGAGCUCCUGCAGCCUCUGGGCAUCCUCGCGGCCUCCCCACGUCCUUCUGGGGCUGGGGCCCUUCCUCUCCUCACUCCUGCAUUCAGCCCCUCUCUGCAGCACUCUUUGCUUUCCUCCUUUCCAGAUAAGGCAAGGAAACUGUGCAAAGACACAUCCGUGGAAUUCAUCGAGGCUUAUGUCCGCGGCACAGAAAAGGACAAGGAGGCGCAGAAGAUGCUGUUCCUCAGCAAAAUCUGCGCUCUGUGCAGAACUGUUUCGGAGAAGGGCUUGACGCUGGACUUGCAUGCCUUCUGCCGCAAAAAUAAGCUGGUGGAGAACAUCAUGGCGCUGCUGGAAAAGGAGCCCAUGGACAGCUUGCGCACAGAAUUUCGGCAGAAGGCCAUGGAGACCAUCGCCGUCCUCAGCAACACCGUGCCGAGAGCACUGCACGGCAAAAAGGAGAGUCUCCGGAACGCGUGCUACAGGAGCGUCUUCUUUCUGCCUCCGGAGUCGGAUGUGCCAGAGACAGAAAGAGCGCUCUACACCAAGGUAUGUGCUGGGCGAGGUACCGGCACCCCCAGUCCUGCUGAGCUGCUGCCUUGCUUCCCCGUGCUGAGACAACUGGAGACCAGUGCAGGGCCGGGGCCCAGAUUUGCUUUCCCAGCCUCAUCCCUUCUUCCCCUUCCCCUUCCCUGGCCUGAUCCUGUGCUGCAGGAGGUCUGCACGCAGCAGCUUUUUAGCCCCAAAGCCACCCCUGGGCUCCAGAGGGGCUCAGAGCCAGCUCCUGGGGCUGAGAAGGGCCACAGAAAUAAUUCAGUGAUCAUCUGUCCUCCUUGCAGACUAUGAAUGCCAUGGACCCCAUGCUGGCGGCCUUCGUACGCAACUGUCCCACCGCCAGCAUCAGCGCAGAGUUGCAGAAUAUCUUGGAGGUUUGGCAUUUGCAAAGAAUUUCCAAAGAAUCCUCUCAGGUCACAUUUGCAGACCCCUGUCAGCCCAGCAACUUCUCUCCUUGCAGGUGCU